UAGUUUUAUCCUAAGUCAAACAUGUCCAACUUUGACUGAGUUUUAUAGAUAAAUACAACAACAACUAUACUACCAAAUAUAUGCACUAAGCACUAUCAAAAUAUAUUCCAUUGUGGACUCAAUGAAAUAAUUUUAGUAUUGUAGAUGUUGUUGGAUUUUUCUAUAAACUUGAUCAAAGUGGCAUAAGUUUGACUUAGCACAAACCGAA
rnacentral:pre_miRNA from 1 species